rnacentral:rRNA from 1 species
GGUAAACUGCGAAUGGCUCGGUAAAUCAGUUAUAGUUUAUUUGAUAGUGCAACCUACUCGGAUAACCGUAGUAACACUAGAGCUAAUACGUGCGUAAAUCCCGACUUUUGGAAGGGACGUAUUUAUUAGAUUUAUGGCUAACCGGGCUUGCCCGACCAGCGGUGAAUCAUGGUAACUUGGCGGAUUGCAUGGCCUCUGUGCCGGCGACGUGUCAUUCAAGUUUCUGCCCCAUCAGGUUUCGACUGUAGUGUAUUGGACUACAGUGCCUAUAACGGGUAGCGGAGGAUUAGGGUUCGAUUCCGGAGAGGGAGCCUGAGAAACGGCUACCACAUCCAAGGAAGGCAGCAGGCGCGCAAAUUACCCAAUCCCAAUUCAGGGAGGUAGUGACAAGAAAUAACAAUGCGGAGCUUCGUGUUCUGCAAUUGAAAUGAGUACAAUUUAAACCACUUAACGAGUAUCAAUUGGAGGGCAAGUCUGGUGCCAGCAGCCGCGGUAAUUCCAGCUCCAAUAGCGUAUAUGUAAGUUGUUGCGAUUAAAAAGCCCGUAGCUGAACCUCGGGCAGCCCUGAUGGUCCGCCUAUGGUGAGUACUGUCGUGGGCUGUCUUUCUGCUACGUGCUGUAUCUCGGCGUUUAUUCGCCGGGAACAGAGCUUAGCAAGGUUACUUUGAGUAAAAUAGAGUGUUCAAAGCAAGCAUGCGCUCUGAAUACACUAGCAUGGGAUAACACGACAUGACCGAUGGUCUAUCUUGUUGGCCUGUAGACCUGUUGGUAAUGGCUAAUAGGGACGGUCGGGGGCAUUCGUAUUUCGCUGUCAGAGGUGAAAUUCUUGGAUUUGCGAAAGACGAACUACUGCGAAAGCAUUUGCCAAGGACGCUUUCAUUAGUCAAGGACGAAAGUCGGGGGAUCGAAGACGAUUAGAUACCGUCGUAGUCUCGACCAUAAACGAUGCCAAUUAGGGAUUGGAGGGCGGAUUCAAUAUGCCUCCUCCAGCACCUUCCG